AAAUUCUGUUCAUCAGUUACUCAUAUUUGAGAGCUGAAUAGUCACAUGUGACUACUGGCUACCAUAUUGGACAACACAGAUUAGAACAGUUCUGUCAUUGCAGAAGGUUCUACUGGACAGUGCAAGUUGUGUUUGGGUGGGAGUUGGGGAGGACAAGUAAACAGGGAAAUUUAAUAGCCUUGUUUAAGAACUAUGUAGGGUGGCAGGGCACCCUCAGAGCACAGAAAAGGGGACCUGAGUCAGGCCACAGGAUCUAGAAAUGCUUACCAUUGUAGGUAACCUCUAAGCCAAGAUGAAGAAAGUUAACUGAGAAAUAGGCAGGCAAAGAGAGGAAAUGGGACCUUAGAGGCAGAGGCAAGAUGUUUCUUAGCUAUUUUCUAGCGUGACUCUUCCAGAUCAAACAUUUGGUACUGAAGUUCCACCCUCAAAGAACUGGACUAUUAAACCAAAGUGCCUGGGAGCCCAGGGUGGAAAUGGGCCGUGGGACGACAAGAGGACACGCCCGUCCUCGUCCUGACGCUCUUUGGCCUCUGCCACAGGGAUGCUGCGCUGCGUCACACAGCACAAAGUCUCCUUGGGCUCUUAUCCUGCAGUCCCAUUAAUCAGAGACUCUCACCUGUCAUUCCAGAUCACGUCAGUGCGAGAUGCUUCAGGCUGUGGCUCAGUCCUAUUAGGAGAGGUCAUCACUGCUCACGUUUGAAAUGGAGAGUGGAAGAACAGCAACAGGGAUGAUUCAAAACAAUGGCUAAUCCAUCAUCUUCUCACGCACUUGCCUCUGUGCACGGAGACUGAACAGGGAUCUGAAACAAGACUGAGGACAGCUUCCUGUUUCGGACCCAGAGGAACUGAAAGGACCUAGCUGCUCAGGCAGGAGGUACUCAGCCUGUGGGUCCUCACCUGUGAGCACGUGCUCUGUGGUCUUUGUUGUCAGCAUCAUCAGCAUUCCCGAGCAGCUGGCAAUGCAGAGUCUAACGUUCAGGGUGGGAUUUGACAUGGCUUUUGGACUGACUAUGAAGAAACAUGGAAGGCCAUUUUUUUCUUGAGCUUCUCAAAAUACACAAAACCCUGACUCAUACUUUCCACUAAUUUUAAUCAUUCUUAAAUGCAGUGUCUACAGUUUUUACUCUUAUAACAUUUUACUCAUGUAACGUCUUAUACAAGUUAUAUUGUUACAUGCAAGUUAUAAUAAAGUUCCAGCCAAACUAGUAUAUUAAAACUGC
rnacentral:lncRNA from 1 species